rnacentral:lncRNA from 1 species
UUUGAAGGCUUUUUCAGGACAGACUGGGCAGCUCCGUGUCCCUCGGGCCGCUCUCCUCUCGGCCGGGCCAUGGCGGCCAGUGCGGUCGCGUGCAUGGUGGACAAGCACGCAGACGCCGCCGUGCCGUCCCUUGUUCCCUGACCACGCCUCCAGCCCGUAUCUCUGGAAGGACAUGAGCGCUGGGUCGUGCACAAGCCCAGUGAGCAGGUGCAGAGUCGGUUUAUGGAGCCCACCGGGCUGGCCCCCCAGGGCUGGAAGGCGGGUCAGGGUAGGAAUGCCCCUCGGCUGCCCUCCCAGGGCCUCAGCUCCCUGGGGGAUGGUGAGGACGAGUAAGCCAGCACACGGUGGCUGCAGUGACAGUGACGUGAGGAUUGUUGGAGAAGGACCUGAAGUCUUGCGGAGAUGGCAGUUUUCGUGGAACAAUGAUGUUUUGCUGCAAGGACUAGUGGGGAGGACAGUCCUGGCAUUUACAGCUAUAAAUUUCCACCUCGGACCUACUUUAGCUGCACCUCAUAAGUUUGGGAGUCCCAGACGUGUGGCUCCAUCCGCAGCGGCUCCAGGGGGCACAGCUGACAAUGACCCGGAGACCCUAUCAGCCACACGUCGGCUCUCCCACGGCUGGCAUCCAGACGGUCCAGCAUUUCUUCUAUUCUCUUUUCCCUCCUCCCUGCCUUUUCCUAUCUGGGCUUCCAGUUGUAAAUUCAUUCUAUUAUUUAGCUCACCUGUUGCGUUCACUAUUUCAAAUUCUGCUUGGUUCUCUUGUUUUCUUUCUCUCUUACAGAAUUUUACCAAAUUCAUUUUAAAUUCUUGGACUGUUCUAAAAUAUUAGAAUAUAUUGAUGGAAUCUCUCUUUCGAUAUUACCAUUUUCAUUUAGCUGUACUUUUCAAGUGUCUUUUAUCUCCUUAUGAGGUCAUGUUCCCCGGGGGUAUUGGCCACUUGGUCAGUGGUGUGUAUGGGGAGGCGAGACCUCAGGGCCGCAGGGAGCUGAAGG